UGCGGAGACAGCCUACCCCUCGUUCUAAAAACUGACAGGCCGAAAAGUGCGUGUGUGGCGGCGAGUUAACAGCGCACACGCGAGUAUGAAAUAGUCGUAAACAAACGCGAAGUCAAAGCCUACACUUCCUGGAACCUGCGUGAAUAAUUGGAUGGGGGUCCCUGGAACACCGAUUUGCCUGGAAAGCGGUCCCUUGGGAAGAACCGGUUGAAGACCAUUGUGUUAUGUCGAUACUUAUUAUUUGUCGCCAUCUUCAUAUACACAUACAUAAACAUUCAUGUACAACACAUGCAAGGCAACAGAAAAAAGGCAGUGACAUAAAGAUGCUGAGAGGAAGACCAAAACAACAGUCAAGGGUAAUGAGUUCAUAAAGAUCUUUUUUAUUUACUUUAUCACAGAAGUAUGCCC